GAAUCUUCCACAAUGGACGAAAGUCUGAUGGAGCAAUGCCGCGUGAGUGAAGAAGGUUUUCGGAUCGUAAAACUCUGUUGUGAGGGAAGAACAAGUACGAGAGUAACUGCUCGUACCUUGACGGUACCUCAUUAGAAAGCCACGGCUAACUACGUGCCAGCAGCCGCGGUAAUACGUAGGUGGCACGCGUUGUCCGGAAUUAUUGGGCGUAAAGCGCGCGCAGGCGGUCCUUUAAGUCUGAUGUGAAAUCCCACGGCUCAACCGUUGAAGGUCAUUGGAAACUGGGGGACUUGAGUACAGAAGAGGAAAGCGGAAUUCCAAGUGUAGCGGUGAAAUGCGUAGAGAUUUGGAGGAACACCAGUGGCGAAGGCGGCUUUCUGGUCUGUUAUUGACACUGAGGCUCGAAAGCGUGGGGAGCAAACU
rnacentral:rRNA from 1 species